UUGCUGUGACGUUUCAGCCUGACGACCAAUCAGCUCACAGACCCAACUUGUUUAUUGCCUUCUUCCGUGUUGUUUUCAGUCUCCGAGGAGUUUUUGUUCUAAUAAGGACCUUCUCGGCAUGUCGACGGCUUCGCGGGCAGGAUAAAUUUGCUUUAUUUAUUUUCAUUGUGGCAGUUUGUAGACGUUUUCGACGUAAAAGCCACAGAAGAAUAUGUUGACAGACGGAGUCCUCACGCGGAGUUCCUUUGGAUCGACCACUCAAGGAAACUUAACUUCCCUGUGCCCUAAUGGGACCAAAUGGGUUUGGGAAGGGCUUGGGGAAUGUGCCCAGGAUGCGAGGGACAUGGCCAGCAUCUACCUAGGCCUCAUGUCCAUCCUCUGCUUCAUGGUGUCCUCACUUCCACAGUACUACAGCUCAUGUAAAACAGGGAAUAUGGACAGCGCCCUCUCUAUUUGGUUUCUGCUGCUGUGGUUGGGAGGUGACACCUGCAAUCUGGUGGGCUCCUUCUUGGCAGACCAGCUUCCACUUCAGACAUAUACAGCCGUUUAUUACAUCAUAGCAGACUUGUUGAUGCUGGCCAUGUACAUAUACUACGCGAGGAACAGAAUGGUGGAAAGCAGGAGGGUUUUGCAUGUGGUGGGUGUAGCCUGUGUCCUGGGCUUCACCACAAGCCUCGUCCAUCUGCCCGGGUUAGGCACCCAACAGGAACUAAAUCCUUCUGCGUUCAGAAGUCGCGCCUUGCUCUCAACCUCUAACAUCAAGACUUUUACGCCUAAAGAGAUUAUUGGUUUCUCCAUCGGCUCUCUGUCGUCACUGCUCUAUCUCUCUUCCAGACUUCCCCAGAUGUACACUAAUUUCAAAAGGAAGUCGACAGAUGGAGUGUCUUACUUCCUGUUUGCGCUGAUCAUCCUGGGAAACACCACAUACGGCUUGAGUGUCCUGCUGAAGAACCCUGAUGGGGACCAGGGGGAGAGUAGCUACAUGGUCCAUCACUUGCCGUGGCUCAUCGGCAGCCUCGGCACCCUCUCCUUAGACCUCAUUAUCUCCAUCCAGUUCAUAAUUUACCGCAAAGCUAAGAUGGAGUUGAACGUCAAUCACGGUGAGACAACGCCUUUGAUCGGGAGCUAAACCAAAAAACCGAGACUGUACUAGUGGGACACGAACGGACACUCUCUUCCAAUUAACCCUCAAAAUCUCCAACCAAAUCAGGAUGAAAGAAAAUUGUACAUUUUAGUUGUAUUAUAAAGUUUUAUUUAUUAUGCUCUAAAAAUGUUUACAAUAUGAUGUUAUCUACAAAAGUACUGUAAAUAUAGAAAUACAAUUGAUUUUAUUUCUAUGACUGUGACAGAUUAAAUUUUUCACUUGGGUUCAGCUGCAAUUAUGUGAUUUACACUGCUCUUAAUGUUUGGGUUUAAAAGGACGAUUAAGGGUUUUGGGUGUCGGACAUGGAUGGAAACUCCUCCUGUCAACCUGAACUCCUUCUCAUGAUUCUAGGUCACAGUCUCAGUUUGAUGUCAGACUUCAUAUAGAUGUCCGAAACCUGCUGGUCGUGGUGAUGAGACCACACAGAGGCUUCUCUAAAAUGAAUCCAGUUUUUUAAGUUGACAAACAUUUUGACAGUUAUGAUGACACUAACCGCUGCACACAUGCAGUGACGAGUCUGAAGAAGAAAUGUUUUGUAAAACAUUUUCCAAGUGUAAGUUGUAUUUAGUCAAUUUUUAAUUAAUGCUUACACCGAGUGCUCUAAUAAAAAAAAAAAAAGUUUUGAGAAUUUAAAGUCACUUAACACAGAUUUCCACUACCAUGUUUAAUGUACACAUUUUUUUGAAUUUUUUUUUUUUAUUCUCACUUUUUUGCACAAUAAAAGUUGGUUUUGUACUUUGAGAAUUAUUAAAUAUGUUAUGUGGGUCAGUGUGCUGUAAAUAUUAAACAAUGAAUAACA